rnacentral:lncRNA from 1 species
CACAGCCGGCUGACCAUACAGACCAGAGUUAAUGUCCAGACGCUCGUUUUGAUUAACAUACGGUUGUAGGUCGUUGUCUUCCUCACUACGGUAGGAAAGUUCCGUCGUUUGUGUUUUACAAGGUUUCACUUAUAAGUUAUUGAUCCGGGAAGUUCGAAUCUGUGAAUAUAUUUCCAACUUUACCGGACUAAAUCGUACCACAUAAGUCAGUUACGUAUCAUGUCAAAAACGGCUGCGCUCGCUCACUGAAGCUGGACAUCGGCCGGACCCUCCUGAAACACACCUCAUCUCCUCCAUCCACCUCCCUCCUCCCGCAUGCUGCCUCUCAGGAUGUUGGGCAUUCUCAUGCUCAUGUUUUUACUGUGUGAUGCAGACAGUUCGUGCCCUGAUGACAUCAACCCUAUCACCCUGGAUCCUCCUGAGGUUAUAGGGGAAUAUGGAGACACAGUCCUUGUAAACUGCUCAAGCUCUGAAGAGUUUCAUGAUGGGUUAGUGUUAAAACUUGGAAACACAUACCACAAUGACAACGAUGAUGAGAAUUUUGUCUCAGGGCCAUUGUCCCUGUCAAACUGGAGCGUGACGGCUGAGUGCAGAAUAAAGCUGAGUGAGACUCUGGAAUGCAGCAGAGAACUUGGAAUCACCAUAUACAGUAAGUGUUCUUCAGGCUUCAUCAUCUAAUGUUGCUUUUUGCCACAUCAGAAGCAAAGUCAAUAUGGGAGAAAUGUAAAACAGCCUCGUUUGGAAAUGAAUUGGACCCGGGUCAGACAUGUGGACUUGAGCCAUUGAUGUUUGUUUUGACGACUCAGCAGGAAAUGAAUGACCUGAGACUCGACUUGGACUUGGAAGUUAAAGACUUGUGACCUGACAUGACUCAACUGACUUCUCUGUUUAUUUUAGUUCUUGUAGCUUGUCUGUCAGUAUUACACUCUUUAAAAGUGACUGGGAGGGAAUAUUUUUCAUUGAGAAGAAACAAGAAAACUAACAUUACAUUUAUUUCCUACUCUCAGUAAAAAAAAAAAUUAUUUCUUUGUCAUACAUUUUGAACAGGUUAAA